ACCAGGAAGAGAUGCCAUGGAGCAAACACACAUUUUGCAGAGUGGUGCAAAACCAGGGCCUUGAAGCUCUGCAAUGGUCAAGGUUUGGAGCUCAGCUCUGCCAGGACAGUCUGGGGCAGCUCAGACCUUCCUGCUUUAAUCCUGAUGAAUCCGUGGAAACUUUUCCAGAUGCUACACAGUCAGCUACAGACCCGCAGAAGCCGUUGCUGAAAAGCCAGCCCGAUAUUGAUUGGAAACAACGAUCUCCAGCCGUGAUCGGGGAGCUGGGCAAUGACGGAUCCCGGAUCGCCGCUGCCCGUCCAGGAGGACCCGUGAGCGCCCUGGGGAGGCUCUUUCUGUGAUUUCUGGAGCUGGUUGUUUGUUUUCCUUGGAUCACACCCUCCUGGGAGAAGUGAUGCUGGAUGCUUUUCCCCUGUUGAUGAUGCAGGCUCCGUUCCUUAAGUAAACCACGACUAAUUCCUGCCCCUGGCGCUGCCAUCUCGCUGUCCUGCCGUUGAAAAGCAGUGAUUUGUAAGUCUGCUCUGCUGGCUCGCCUGGAAACCCACGGCGUGGAAAUCAACACCAGCCCCUCGCUGUUAUUAAGUACAA